rnacentral:ncRNA from 2 species
GCGAACCACGCGGGGCGUCCCGCCCGGGCCACGGCCCGGGCCGAGGGACUGAGACGAGCGGUACGGCCGCCCGGACCCGUCGAACCUGAUCUCGCUAGCACGAGCGGAGGAACGUGGGCAUGACGACGC